rnacentral:rRNA from 1 species
UGAGGAAUAUUGCACACUGGGCGCAAGCCUGAUGCAGCAACGCCGCGUGAGGGACGAAGGCCUUCGGGUCGUAAACCUCUUUCCUGGGGGACGAGUAAGGACGGUACCCCAGGAAUAAGUCUCGGCUAACUACGUGCCAGCAGCCGCGGUAAAACGUAGGAGGCGAGCGUUAUCCGGAUUUACUGGGCGUAAAGCGUACGCAGGUGGCUUCGUUAGUCGGACAUGAAAGCUCCUGGCUUAACUGGGAGAGGUUGUUCGAUACUGCGGGGCUUGAGGUUGGGAGAGGGACGUGGAAUUCCCGGUGUAGUGGUGGAAUGCGUAGGUAUCGGGAGGAACACCAGUGGCGCAAGCGGCGUCCUGGCCCACACCUGACGCUGAGGUACGAAAGCGUGGGUAGCAAACAG